CAUGUGAAAGAACAGAAUAUGAUGAAUGCCGCCCUCAUUUGAUAUCCACAGACUCAAAAAUGGAUUUUCACUAUUUGGCAUAAAAGCAAACUGUAAAUGGAUUGAACAGUUGUUUCCUCAGUAGUGUUGGGAAGCUCCUCAAACACUGAGAAAAUUAUCCUGCAGCUGGCUUAUUUAUCUAAAACUACUGUCACAAGCAAAGCUGACAGAAAGAGUUCAGUAGGAAGAGGUUUGUUUUUUUUUUUUUAAGAUUCAUUUUGGUUUGCGUGGGUGGGUGCAUGCAUGCGUGCGUGCGUGCGUGUGCGCGUGUGUGUAUGCAUGUACACGCGCAUGCCGGAACAUGUGCAUGUGUGCAUGCAGGUGUCCAUAGAAGCCAGGAAAAGAUGUUACAGUCCCUGGAAUUGGAGUUGAAGGUGGAUGAAUAUAGUGUUUGGAACUGUACUCUGGAGUUCUACAAGAGGACAGAGCACUCUUACCUGCUGAGCUAUCUCUUGAUCUCUUCUCAGGAAGACUUUUGCCAUGACAGAAGUGAAAUUUAAAAACAGAGAGCCAUCUGCUGGUAUGUUAAGCAGUGUACCAAUUACUUAUGCUAGAUAAUGAGUGUCUGCAUAACUAAGCAUAAAGCAAUAAAAUGGUAUGCUUUAUAAGAGACAUUAAUCCAGAAGAUGUCAGAGGGGAGACCAGACUGGUACAAUAUGUUCUGAGAGUUUGUCAUUGAGCCAGACCAGAGUUCCAGUGAACUGAAGACCUUAGGAGGAAAAAGGAAUUAUAGCUAAGCUCAUUCCUAGUGACUUGUUAGAACCAGACUUCAUCUACAGUCCACUUCACACCACUGUUACAAAAUACCUGGCUGAAACAACCCAUUUAAUAAAUUACAGGAGUCAAGACAAAACAAUUAGACAUUUUGUAAUGUACUCUUAGCAGUUGAAUUCUAUGCCUUUUGCCAUAUCCAACAAACCUUAAAGAUGGGUUUUACCAUAAUGUGGAAGGAAACUGACUAUGCACAGGUAUCAUUGCCAGAGAACAUAGAGUGUAAUUUCCAGGUUAAAGGCCAUAUACUUCAGCAGGAAUUUCACUCAAAAAUUUGAGUCAGGCCUGUAGAGGGCCACAAUAACAUGCGCCACCACUAGAUGGCGCUGGCUUCCACUGCGCCCCACGUGGAAGGCCAAGUCAGUCAAGAUGGCGCCAGCCUUCGCUGCGCCAGCUGGCCCCCCUCUCAGGAAGUUAACUGUGCACAUGUGCAAGAGUGCCUUCCUGCCAGGUCUUUGCCCAUUCCGGGGCGUGCCUGAUGAGAUCAUGAGUAAGCAACCAAUCAGGUGUGGAUGCGUGCGCGAGGGUUAAAUAGGCGCGCCUAGCCUGCGCGCGGGGCUUCUCCAUGAGAUAGGAAUAAAGUAUCACUCAUAGCAAGAAUUUCUAUGUCUCGCGUGCUUCUUGCCGGCGGAAAGUCGCGCGUGGGACAUUUGGUGCCGAGAAACCCGGGACAAAAACAUCGCCGGCGCUACGAGAGGCCUCCGUUUCACGGAAGAAAUUCAGAAGCUAUGGAAUACAGGUAAAAAACUCUGAGAGACCAUGGCUAGCCUUGAUCUGCUCCAACUCAGUCCCCUGCCGGACGUGGCAGGUGCCGCUGUGGUUGCUCUGGCAACCCUUGGGCUUUUUCUAUUGACCUUUGAGUUUCUAGCUACCGCCAAACGGCUUCGGAGGUCACGUGGGAACUGCUCAGCUAUAACAGCAAAGCGGAGAGCGUUGGGGGAAGGGCGAGACAGUGCGUCAGAAACAGGGUUAGAGAACGAAUUAAAGAGUUUUAAGGGAAAAAGUGCACUUAAGAAAAGAGACCCUCUCGAGGACUUUAGAUCCGAGGGAGAGGGAGAGUGGGGAAAAAAUGCCCCGGGAGAGAACAAGGGAGGAGAUAAACAGAACACAAUAUUUUGGGAGAAAAAUUUUGUCUUUAUGCCUGUAAAAGGUGUACUUAAGCUCCGGCGCCGGCUCUCGGGACGCCACGGCGUCCGUGCACUGACGCGACAGCUUUACAGAGUCAUACUGAUCAGAUCUGAUCGAGGCAGACCGCCUGAAAAUUUAUUCAGGAGAAUCAAACAAAAGGACAUCUCAGUGCCCGUGCACAGCCUGAUAGAGUUAAUGUAAUUGGGUUGUGAGUAAAAAUACUCAGGGCUGUGUUUCACUUCCAUACCAUUGGCGAAUAUCGGUCAUACUGCUCAGAUAAUAUCUCUCAGUGUCUUACAGAAUUGGGUUUCAACACGUUGGUGGACUAGUCCAGGAAUUGAGACAAUCCAUCGCCCAUAUCAACUCCACUCGAGUGGAUAGUCGCCGUGAACACCAUCUGGCUUUUUCCCCUCUUUGUCUAUUGUUUGUCUCUGGUGCACCAGGAUGUCCCCAUGUCUGUCAGUGUAUGUCUGUGGUUUUUGUUUCUCGUUGUCUAAAAGUUUUAUGUUUCAUGUUCAAAAGAAAAAAUGGUAAAAACUUUACCUGCUGGUCGUGCACACCUUAACUUGGUUUUAACUCAUUUCAAAAAGGAACAAUGAAUAAAAAACAGUUUUAAUCAGGUCUUUGAAGCCCUGUGCCUAGAGCCAGGUGUCUAGAUUAGCUGGAGAAGCUGACCAGAAGCUAAGCGUCUACACGAGCUGAUCUUAAAAGCGCCAACAGCGGUUGGGGAUUUAGCUCAGUGGUAGAGCGCUUGCCCAGGAAGCGCAAGGCCCUGGGUUCGGUCCCCAGCUCCGAAAAAAAAAAAAAAAAAA